UUCCCCUUCGGGGGACAGGAUGACAGGUGGUGCAUGGUUGUCGUCAGCUCGUGUCGUGAGAUGUUGGGUUAAGUCCCGCAACGAGCGCAACCCUUGAUCUUAGUUGCCAGCAUUUAGUUGGGCACUCUAAGGUGACUGCCGGUGACAAACCGGAGGAAGGUGGGGAUGAAGUCAAAUCAUCAUGCCCCUUAUGACCUGGGCUACACACGUGCUACAAUGGAUGGUACAAAGGGCAGCAAAACCGCGAGGUCGAGCCAAUCCCAUAAAACCAUUCUCAGUUCGGAUUGUAGGCUGCAACUCGCCUACAUGAAGCUGGAAUCGCUAGUAAUCGCGGAUCAGCAUGCCGCGGUGAAUACGUUCC
rnacentral:rRNA from 1 species